UACGUAGGAUCCAAGCGUUGUCCGGAUUUAUUGGGUUUAAAGGGUGCGCAGGCGGCUGGAUAAGUCAGUGGUGAAAGCCUACCGCUUAACGGUAGAAUUGCCAUUGAUACUGUUCAGCUUGAGUAUAGUUGAGGUUGGCGGAAUGUAUCAUGUAGCGGUGAAAUGCAUAGAUAUGAUACAGAACACCGAUUGCGAAGGCA
rnacentral:rRNA from 1 species